GAUGAACGCUGGCGGCGUGCCUAAUACAUGCAAGUCGAGCGAACGGACGAGAAGCUUGCUUCUCUGACGUUAGCGGCGGACGGGUGAGUAACACGUGGAUAACCUACCUAUAAGACUGGGAUAACUUCGGGAAACCGGAGCUAAUACCGGAUAAUAUUUUGAACCGCAUGGUUCAAUAGUGAAAGACGGUUUUGCUGUCACUUAUAGAUGGAUCCGCGCUGCAUUAGCUAGUUGGUAAGGUAACGGCUUACCAAGGCAACGAUGCAUAGCCGACCUGAGAGGGUGAUCGGCCACACUGGAACUGAGACACGGUCCAGACUCCUACGGGAGGCAGCAGUAGGGAAUCUUCCGCAAUGGGCGAAAGCCUGACGGAGCAACGCCGCGUGAGUGAUGAAGGUCUUCGGAUCGUAAAACUCUGUUAUUAGGGAAGAACAUAUGUGUAAGUAACUAUGCACAUCUUGACGGUACCUAAUCAGAAAGCCACGGCUAACUACGUG
rnacentral:rRNA from 1 species